rnacentral:rRNA from 1 species
UUCCGUAGGUGAACCUGCGGAGGGAUCAUUACACAAAUAUGAAGGCGGGCUGGAACCUCUCGGGGUUACAGCCUUGCUGAAUUAUUCACCCUUGUCUUUUGCGUACUUCUUGUUUCCUUGGUGGGUUCGCCCACCACUAGGACAAACAUAAACCUUUUGUAAUUGCAAUCAGCGUCAGUAACAAAUUAAUAAUUACAACUUUCAACAACGGAUCUCUUGGUUCUGGCAUCGAUGAAGAACGCAGCGAAAUGCGAUAAGUAGUGUGAAUUGCAGAAUUCAGUGAAUCAUCGAAUCUUUGAACGCACAUUGCGCCCUUUGGUAUUCCAAAGGGCAUGCCUGUUCGAGCGUCAUUUGUACCCUCAAGCUUUGCUUGGUGUUGGGCGUCUUGUCUCUAGCUUUGCUGGAGACUCGCCUUAAAGUAAUUGGCAGCCGGCCUACUGGUUUCGGAGCGCAGCACAAGUCGCACUCUCUAUCAGCAAAGGUCUAGCAUCCAUUAAGCCUUUUUUUUCAACUUUUGACCUCGGAUCAGGUAGGGAUACCCGCUGAACUUAAGCAUAUCAAUAAGCGGAGGA